ACUCAAAUGAAUUGACGGGGGCCCGCACAAGCAGCGGAGCAUGUGGUUUAAUUCGAAGCAACGCGAAGAACCUUACCAAGGCUUGACAUCUACAGAAUCCUAAAGAGAUUUGGGAGUGCCCUUCGGGGAACUGUAAGACAGGUGGUGCAUGGUUGUCGUCAGCUCGUGUCGUGAGAUGUUGGGUUAAGUCCCGCAACGAGCGCAACCCCUAUUGUUAGUUGCUACCAUUAAGUUGAGCACUCUAGCGAGACUGCCGAGGUUAACUCGGAGGAAGGUGGGGAUGACGUCAAAUCAUCAUGCCCUUUAUGCCUUGGGCAACACACGUGCUACAAUGGCCGGUACAAAAAGUUGCAAUACCGCGAGGUGGAGCUAAUCUCAAAAACCGGUCCCAGUUCGGAUUGUAGGCUGCAACUCGCCUACAUGAAGCUGGAGUUGCUAGUAAUCGUGAAUCAGAAUGUCACGGUGAAUGCGUUCCCGGGCCUUGUACACACCGCCCGU
rnacentral:rRNA from 1 species